UGCGGGAUAGAGCAGUGGCAGCUCGUCGGGCUCAUAACCCGGAGGUCGUAGGUUCGAAUCCUACUCCCGCAACCA
rnacentral:tRNA from 1 species